UCCUUUGACAGGCAAAGAGGCGCAUUGCAGGGAUUUCCACUCAAAAUAGAAUUUUCCAUAUGAGGCUUGCACUGGCCAGGCACAUCCCACCCCAAGACCAAGCAUAGUACUUGUGCUAAAGCCUAAACACUAUCUGUGCAGCAUGGGUUCCUUCUAAGGAUAAUCAUCGUUCCAGAAAUCCUGGAGAGUUUGGCCAAGAUUUGCAUUACUUUAUCCUGAUUUUUCUCUUCUUUGCUUGCGACAUCGAGGCAGCCACAACCAUACAAAAAACAACUAAAAAAAAAAAAAAACUAAAAAGACAAAAGACAACUGAAGAC
rnacentral:lncRNA from 1 species